GGGGGUGGAAGAUCUGUAUGAAAAAAAUGUGGAUCUGAAAAUGACCCUUUCCAGGAUGAUAAAAUACUGGGCUACAAAGACCAGGAAGCUCAGUGAGAACUUUACACAUGCAGAGAGACCAUUUGCUUUAGAGGACAGUGCUGACUACAAAAAAAAGAGUAUGAACAUCCUAGCAACUUGAUUAAACUCUCAUUUUAAGUUGGCUCUGUCUUCCUCUAUUACAUUAGGGUUGCGGUUUGGAGACAGGCACAUGACAGAACACACUGAGAUCAUGCAACAAGAGCUACGGUUAAUCCAUGGAUGCCUCUUUUUAUAGGGGGUUCAAAAUUCUCACACUUGAACAACCGGUUAGUGGGGGACUCAGCGCUACCCAGCUCACUGGCCAGUGAUGUGUCUGCAAUCUGUGUUGAAUGGGAUUGGCUGGGGUUCCUUGUUUGGUUUCAAAUCCAACCUAUCAUUGCCUCACCUGGGGACUGGUUUAAUUUUAUUCUAGAAUGACCUAGGCUAGCCGAAUUGGGUUCAGUUAUGGCCAGAUUUAUCUGUGCAGCUUCAGACCUGCUGCAGCUGCGACAAUUUCCCCUUUCUGUUUUAAUAAAUGCAAAGUGUUCUUUGUUAUCCUCUGCAGGUGUCUUUUGCAGAUAGAAUGACAAAGACAGAAUGAAUCUAGUUCAACUAAGACUUUUACCCAACUUAACACGUCUAGUAUCCAGGCAGUGAUGGUAUCCCAUGUAUCAUUGGAGUUGUAACAUCCACAUCCAGGAGCUGUCAGGCGAGGUUACCAGUAAUACAGUCUUUCAGCCUAGCAUGCCUCAGGUUCAUUAUUUAGAAGUUACAAAUUACGCUUUAACACAACAAACAAGAAACAUUUCAACUCAAAACCAUCUCAAUUAAAAGCUUACAUCCUUCUGCCACUGAUAUCUCUCUUUGGGUCUUGGGGUUUGAGUAGGAUGAUGGGUAGAUUUUCUUACCAUUGACAGUCUUUUACCUCUGACAAGCUGUUGGCUUCCUAGGUUAGUUGGGACUUGAUUGAAAAACAUGAGAACAUGACAUUACCCAAAACUUUUGAGGGGGAUACACAUCCACUCCCCUUUUCUGUGUUUUAACAUUAACAGGAACAUAAUUCAAUCCUAACAAAACAUGCACUUUUGAAUGAAAUUAACAAGGUGAAACUUAUAUUCUUUGCUAUCAUCACCCAGGGUCUGCCAAGGAGGCUUCUUUUCACAGUGAGGACUUUAGAGAGCCUUUUCCGGAUAAGGCUCUACUACAAGGGAAAGGGGUCCAGCUUCUGCAAAGCCAAAUCAGCCAGUCAAAGUGACUUGCUUUCAAUUUUAGCACAGAAACAUCUGGGUUUUAUGGCAUACUUUUCCUGCCAGUCAAGGCCAUAGCUUGGCCAGAGCUAAGACCCAGACUGGGAGGGCUUCCCUAUCUCCAGCCACUCACCUCUACACAGCUCCAGCUGAGGCAGCAUAGUGUGGGGUGGUGUGAGUUCUUUUGUGAUACUGUCAGGGUCCCCUCUAGGAUAAAUUGGAUCAGGGGACCAGGGGCCAUUUUCUGGUUCUCCUCCCACAGCUCUGGCAAAUGUAUGGCUGUCCAUUGGCAGCCAGGUCUCCCAGCCUCUUGGGCACUGACUGCGGCACUGACUGCCUUCAUGUUUCUUGGGCUUCUCCAGCCCUGGCUCUGUUAUGGUACCGCGUUCCAUGGUUCUGGGUUUCAGCAGCCUUUCACUGGUGCUUCUGGGUUUUGGCGCUUGCAGCUCUGCACUGGCCUUGAUGGUCUUCCAACCAUCCCAGCGAGUUUGGAACAAGCCUCCAGGGCUUUAUAAUGUCCAUAGUGGCUUCUAAAGCCGGUUCCACAAGCCUCUAGGGCAUUAUAAUGGCCAUAGUGGCCUCCAGAGCCUGUUGCUCAUGCUUUACUCCCCAUUUAGGUAAAAAGAGGGUCCAAACCUUAGCGACUUGGUUUUCUUCCAGCAAAACACAUCCUUCCAUAUUUCUUGGCACCAUUUUUCUAUAUACAGGGGUAUUUACAAAAGGGGUUGAGACUUUGGCCAGCUCUUCACACCUUGGUUGGCUCUCCACACUGUAUUUUGGCAGCUAUUUUGCUGCAGGCAGCUCUCCACACUCACCCUUGUUUCCCCUGCUCUACACAUGAAUGGCAGUGUCAACCACAUCAGGUUUACUAUGUUAGGGUCACAGUUUGGUGACAGGCACACAACUGAACACACUGAAAUCAUGCAACAACAGCUACGGUUUAUCCAUGGAUGCUUCCUUUUAUAGGGGGCUCAAAAUUCUCAUGCUUGAACAACUGGUUAGUGGGGGACUCAGCACCGCCCAGCUCACUGGCCAGUGAUGUGUCUGCAUUCUGUGUUGAAUGGGAUUGGCUAGGGUUCCUUGUUUGGUUUCAAAUCCAACCUAUCAUUGCCUCACCUGGGGACUUGUUUAAUGUUAUUCUAGAAUGACCUAGGCUAGCCGAAUUGGGUUCAGUUAUGGCCAGAUUUAUCUGUGCAGUUUCGGAUCUGCUGCAGCUGUGACAUUCCUCAAAGAUGAAGCCUUUUAGCUAGAUAAGCAAGAUGAAACUUUGCUUGCUCUACUGCAAGAAUUAGUUGCCUCCUACACAUUAAUGGGUUAAGAGUUUGUCCUUUGCAUGUCAACUAAUUUUAUUUUACACACCAUGCUGGUACUGCUACUGCAUCCAUGUGAAUCCUUAUUUUGCCAAGAAAUUCAUUGCCCUUUUAGUAGUUGAAUGUUGAUGACAGGCAAAAUUAUUCCCCUCCUAUUGCAUGUGCUAUUGUGUAGUGCUUGGAGCAGUUAUGCCAAGGGUAUAUACAUCUUUGUUUUCAGUAACAUUCUUAAUUCAGAAACAAAAUGCAACUGCAACUUAGAUUUUAUGUCAUCUUUUUUGGUGUUCUCUUUUCUGAGAAAAUAAGGAAAAUGGCUCUACAACUGCUCCAUGGACAAUAGUAUUUUAACAUAAUGGUAACAGCUGGGUUGUGGUGUCCAGUUCUUCUCAAUUUCAGGUUUCUGCCUUGUAGCAUUCAGUGCUCCAUUCAUACUGAAUGCAUGCUGCAAGAUGAACUAUUUUGUAAUAAAUCUAUUUUAACUACACAUUUCAGGCAUAAUUUUUAUUUUCUGAGGCUAAUGUGAGGCUAAUUCAACAUUUUGCUGGUGUGGGGCAUUAUGGGUUGGACUUCAGAUGCACAGAUGGAUUCUCCUUUAGACUCCCUACUCCAGUUGCAGCUGGGAGUGUCAAUUUGUAGGCUGUUACUGUGAAGACAACAGUCACAACAUUUUACUAAUGUAAGCUGAAAAAAUCUGGGGGGUUUUACCUUGAAAUUAGAAUGCAAUGGGGCAUCCAAACUCAUUGUGGUAUGAGUGCACAAGAGUUAGUGGUGUUUAUUGAUCAAAAAGAUAGUGAAAAACUAUUGAAAGUAAUAAUUUUUAAAGGUGAUCUGCAUAUUAAAAGGGAGACUGUAGUUGACAGCAAACUCUAGGAUGAGAUAAAGCUGUGUUGGAGCAGGACAUUUAAUCCUUAAAAGCAUUCAGUGAACUUAGAGAACAGAAGCCUUAAGGACUUCAAAAUGAUGCGUCUGGGACUGAUAAAUUGCUCAAGUGUGGCAUAGUUUAUAUGCCAGCCUAUUACCAGUCUCAAAUACUGUUAAUUUUGUAAAAUCAUAUAGAGUGCUAUGCAAAUACCUGACUUAUAAUUGUCUAAAAGACUACCCUGGAAAGAAGGAAUUUCCUUAUUAAGCAGGGAAGUGUAAAUAUUGAUUGUUUGUGUGUUGGUAGUUUGGUUUUUUUAUUUUUUUCAAGACAGCUGAAUUUUCUUACUCUGCAUACACAAGCAGUAAUAUUGGAAGGUAGACACUUGCUAUUUUGAUUAACUAUUUUUCAGUUUGUCAGAGGUAGUGCCAAUUCUUGAGGAUACAUUUGUUUUUUCUGUUUGGAAUUAUUAGUUCCUGUAUGAAUAGUGACAUCAGAACCCUGAGUUCACUCAAAAGUGCAGAUUGUGACAGACACUUGGCUUUGGUAUUGUUAGACUUUGGAUGGUGCAGUCAAUAAAAGGAGCCUUGGAAUAGUCAUGGACCACUUUCCUCAAUAUUUCCCUGUGUCUUCCAGGGACACUUUGGGGUUAUUUGGAUAUUUGGAUUAUUUGGAUAUUAUUUUGUUAUUUGGAUAUUUUCUACUGUCAAAUCCACAGUGGAUGGUAAUGAUUAUGUUGAUGUGCUGAUAAAACAGAUGGCUGCAUCUUCUUACAUGUUUUCUGACAUUUAAGUGAUAAAAAUGCUUCUUUGUAUUGUUACCUUGGCAAUGCAGUAAUAGCUCUAAUAAUAGCUCUAAUAGUGAUGGCCUGCUGUUGAAGAUAGCAGCUACUUCUGUAAUUAUUAGAUUGGAAUUUCUUUAGAAUCCUGGGCAAAACUGACCUUUCUGUAACCUUAAAAUUAGUAGAUGAUUUAGGCAUUUGGGACAGGGCAUGCCUGGACUUCUGAAAUUACUUGCAGCUCUUUGAAGUGGUUGGCAUUUCAGGAUUUUUACUCUGUUAUAAUUUGCAAUAUCUUGUGUAGACUGCAGGUAUUGCCCUCAGACUGUAAUAGGUUGAAACUGGCCACAUGCCAGUACACCCAUGAAAAUAAUUAUUCAUUUUCCUCUGCUAUAGUUAAGCAGAGGAGGGGGAAAGAAAAUUCAUGGGGUGAGAUAAGGAUUAGGACAAAAAACAUUUUAAGGGAAAACAGCCUUAAAAUUUUAAAAGGUAUAAAGUAAAAUCUAUUAAGAGACUUAAAAGAGGAUGAUGAGAACUAAAAAGUAAACAGUUCAAACACUUUAUCCUCCCCUCCCAGCCCUUCUGUCCUUCCCACUGACAGCACAGGGAGACAAAACAUAGGAUUUUUAGUUAGUCUAAAAGUCUUUCUUCAGUUUACUUAGGGAGAGGAGUCCCUUGCUAUGCUGUGGGGUCUUUCCUACAGGAAACAGUUCUCUGUGAACUUUUCCAACAUGGUUUUAUUUUCACAGCAAACAGUCUGCCUGGAACCUGCUUGCAAUGUGAAGUUCCUCCUACGGGCAAGCAGUCUUCACACAACUGCUUUUUGUGGCCAUUUAGCUUAUGGGGUGCAGUUUUUAAGGAUAAGUUGUUCUAGUAUAAAAGCAAGGGUCCUUUUCCUCUAUUUCUGAAAGCAAGGGCUUUCAUUCUCUCUGUUCAAACUUCUCACCCAAACACAGCUUUUCAACAUCCACAUGCUCCAGCACGAGUGUCUUUUUCUCAUGGGCUGUGGGUGAAUGCUCAUCCUCACAUGCACUUCAUUAAUUAUAGGGAAACAGUUUAUUGUAUUACAGUCCUCACCAUAGCUUGCAGAAGAAUUUCCGCUUUGAGGUCCAGAGCACCUCCUCCUCCCCUUCCCUCUUUUGCACCAACCUUGGUGUCACCAUGUUGUUCUCAUCACGUGUCUUCACCUUUUCCUUUUCUCUGACUCGGGAGAGAAUUGGUGUCUGUAGGUUCAUUUGUUCUCAAAUUGUAUCAGUUGAAAUGUUUUUAUAGAGUUCUGCAGUGCUGAAAGGUUGAUCUUGUCCAGGCCCUGCAACUGGGAAAUCUCUUGCCAUGCUUUUCUCUAUGUUGGACAUGUGGUCUCUGCCAGCACUGCACAAGCUGCACUGGCUGCCAGCUCCACUCCGUGCCUUUUCGUCAUGCAGGACAUCGAAAAAAGAAAAACUGCACCACUGCUUUUGUCUUUCUGUCCGCAACAUGGCUGGUUAAAAGCAACUAAUUAAAUAAAGUCCAUUGUGAGCCAUGCUGAGACAGCUGCAGCCGUGCGGUCCCACCCAGGCUGCAUAUCUGCUCACAGGGCUGGAUAGCUCAUGUUGCCCUGGCAGCAUGGCCUGGUGGCUGUGCUGGGACAGGGUCCAGUGUCCCCUUCUGGGAAGGGGCCGGGGCUGGCUCCCCAAGGAAAGGGGCCCAGCCAGACCCCUUUUGAGAGCAAGCAGCAAGACAGCUUCCCGCAUUUUUUUGUUCUUAAAUAUGUUAUCAUAGAGGCGUUAUCAGCUUUUUUCUAAUUGGCUUACAAGUGUGCUAAGUCUAAGAGCUAGCCAGCAAUUGAUUUUUGCCAGGCAUGGAGGGAGCUGCUAGCAGCUCCUCACAGAGAACCACUUGGGUGGCUGACUUUUUCCCUCUUCACCACAAAUCAAUUCAUGCCAAACCAGCACAAAAGAGAUUGCCAUCAACUCUCCACUUACUUAGGUUCACUCAAACAAGUCACAUCUGUAAGAAUAAGUGAGUGCUUUAAGAUAAUUGCCUUUUCCCAGGGUAGCUUUGUCUUACUGGAAUCCUCUGAGGCUAAAAGUAAUUAAAUGCACACAGUUUUUUCUUUUUGGUUAGUUAUUUGCUGUCAGUGGAAGGAAAAGGUGCCACUGGAAGGCUGUACUUUCAACAUUUCAAGCUACAGUGCUUGUGAAGUAGUUUUUCAAGAGAAACUAGUCUGUUGUUAGAGAGUGUUUGCGUAGGAGACUGGGAGUGGAGAAUGACAAUUCCUCUGUAAGCACUAAAUGCUCUAUUAGUUUCGAGGACUGUUCAAGGAGAUGCUUAAGAUAAUUGAUGAUUCUAUUCUAAUCCAAGUCUGCAAAUCUGAUUAAACCCAUCAGUUUCUCAUAUUUUGAAUUUACAUCUGCUGUUUUAGAUCCAAUUAGUCACAUCCAGCUGCUUUUUUUUGAAUUGCCUCUCGGUUUUUCAGAAGAAUCAGAAUGAGUUUUAACUAGUGUAUAUUGCAGAGAAGUGAUACAUUUCCUUUAUUGUGAUCAAAGUUGUCCAUAUCCCUUGACCAGAAAGCAUGAGCUGAUAAAUGUUUUACUCCUGUGUUUAUACAAGAACGGAGAUACAAUUCACUUGUCUUGAAGUUACUUAAAGCUUAUCACAAAGAGUAAUGUAGUAACUAGAAGCAUAAUUUUGAAUUGUAACUUUCCAGCUUAUUAAAAAUUUUGACUGGUUUUUUUUCCUGGCAGUUGGUAAAUGUAGCAUGUAGAUCUACCUUGCUAUCUUGACAGCUGAACUGGCAUGUAAAAAAAUUACAAUAAUGUUUAGUCUGUGUAUAGUAACAGUAAAAACAAACAAAAACCCCUCAACAAUAAACUGGGGUAAAUAAACAUGUUUCUGUCUGACAAA